ACCAGAAGCAGAGGCUGGCACCAUGUUUGUUAUGCAGCCUGCAGAACCAGAAAUCAUGGGAAAAACUGCCCAUUUCUGUUUUGUCCACUUUGCUUUGGGAAGUGAGAGCUAUAGUCAUUAUCACCACAUCCCCUGGCAUCCAAUUCCACAUUCUACCUCAGAAGUUAUUUGGAGGAAUCCAAGGACUUAGAUAUUUUACCAAUGUCUCUGGUGAUUUUUAUAUCGGUGGCCCAUGGGUGUUGACCUAUGAAACUGCUCUGCAGCAGAUAUUGAGAAAUAGGAGUUCAGGACAAUGAUCUCUGACCUUGCCACUAAGAGUAAAAAAAUGUGCUGAACACCUUUACUGGGAUACUAGUCACUACCAUCGAACUCCAAGUACUUCAGAUUUGGAACUCGGACUGCUUUCCUUGCUCCUCAGCCUGCAGAUGGCCUAUUGUGGGACCUUGUGAUUAUGUAGUGAGACGAGCAUGAGUGGAGCAGGAGACGGCUGUCCCCCACCCACAAGGAAUAUCAGAUGAUGGUUCAGCGAUCAUCACAUUGCCUCUCUGAAAGUGAUAAAUUGGCAGCUGGCACCAGGGAGAGGCUAUUUCCUGAUGGCCCACACCUGUUGCACUAAGAUGUUAAUCGAAUGCAGAUUCCAGGGAGAAACAACUUCCUGGGCAUGUGCGUAAGAGACAAAAUGGCAGGUAUGACCUUCUGGGGACACUCCACCAGAAAAGGGAAGAAAACCUCAGAUGGGCAUGCAUAUAACUUCCUAAACACACUGCUCACACUCUCCUCCCAAGGGUAAGGAGGGCACUGCACAUGCAGGCAGCCCAUCCUAAGGGAAGCAUCCUGGGAAAGGGGUCAGUCUAUAUGGUUCUGGGAUCAAGAUUAAACACCACAUUAGACCUUCAAGUUGCCCACUUGGGUCUCUUCUAUGUGUAUUUUUCUUUCCUUUCUUUUCUGCUCUAAAGCUUUUUUAAAUAAACAUACACAUCCCUCCUCUGAAACUUGCCUUGGUCUCUUUUUCUGCCAUAUGCAACUCAGUCAAAUUAUUUCUUCUGAGGAGGAAAAAAUUGAGGUAGCUGCAUUCCCAUACAGAUUCACCAUCGGUAACUCAGAUACCUUCUACUGGCCAUAUGUUUGGUGUUCUAUUCAAGAAAUAAUUGCUAAAGCCAAUGUCUUAAAGUGUUUUUCUUAUGUUUUUCUUCUAAGAGUUUUACAGUUUCAGGUCUUACACUUAAGUAUUUAAUUAAUUUGAGUUGAUUUUAUGCAUGGUGUAGGAUGUGUGUAAUAUUCAGUUUUUCUAACACUAUUUGUUGAAGAGACUAUUCUUUUUCCACUGUGUAUCCUUAGAAGCAUUGCUGAAGUGUUGUUG
rnacentral:lncRNA from 1 species